rnacentral:rRNA from 1 species
AGUGAACGCUGGCGGUAGGCCUAACACAUGCAAGUCGAACGGCAGCACAGUAAGAGCUUGCUCUUACGGGUGGCGAGUGGCGGACGGGUGAGGAAUACAUCGGAAUCUACUUUUUCGUGGGGGAUAACGUAGGGAAACUUACGCUAAUACCGCAUACGACCUACGGGUGAAAGUAGGGGAUCUUCGGACCUUGCGCGAUUGAAUGGGCCGAUGUCGGAUUAGCUAGUUGGCGGGGUAAAGGCCCACCAAAGCGACGAUCCGUAGCUGGUCUGAGAGGAUGAUCAGCCACACUGGAACUGAGACACGGUCCAGACUCCUACGGGAGGCAGCAGUGGGGAAUAUUGGACAAAGGGCGCAAGCCUGAUCCAGCCAUACCGCGUGGGUGAAGAAGGCCUUCGGGUUGUAAAGCCCUUUUGUUGGGAAAGAAAAGCAGCAGGUUAAUACCCCGCUGUUCUGACGGUACCCAAAGAAUAAGCACCGGCUAACUUCGUG